AGGGGAUGGAGGAGAGGGUGAGGGGGUGGAGGAGAGGAUCAGACUGAUGGAGGAGAGGUUGAGGUGGAUGGAGGAGAGGGUGAGGGGGGUGGAGGAGAGGAUCAGACUGAUGGAGGAGAGGGUGAGGGGAUGGAGGAGAGGGUGAGGGGGAUGGAGGAGAGGGUGAGGAGGAUGGAGGAGAGGGUGAGGAGGAUGGAGGAGAGGGUGAGGAGGAUGGAGGAGAGGGUGAGGGGGAUGGAGGAGAGGGUGAGGGGGAUGGAGGAGAGGAUCAGACUGAUGGAGGAGAGGGUGAGGGGGAUGGAGGAGAGGGUGAGGGGGAUGGAGGAGAGGGUGAGGGGGAUAGAGGAGAGGAUCAGACUGCUGGAGGAGAGGGUGAGGGGAUGGAGGAGAGAGUGAGGGGGAUGGAGGAGGAUUUGUAGUCGUUCCAAGUUGAGUGCCAGGGCAAAAGUAGUCUUUUUGUGGGCGUGAAUGUGGGCGGUUCUUCAUUCUAUUCCAUUGCUAUUGAACAUAGUAAUCUCCGUAUUAUCGUUUAUUUAGAUAUUAGACAACCUGAGGAUUGAUAAAAAAC
ensembl:lncRNA